CCAGAAGCCACAGGCUGCUAAGCAAAAGCAGUAAUCGGGCAGCAAGCAGAUGGGAUAAGAUGACUGGGGUUUGGCCAGAUGAUUUGGUGCUGGGGCUCCCUACACAACUACCACCAGGAAGGAGGAGCCCACACAUUUCUGGAAUCUGCCACUUUUAAUCGUGAACGGAGGCUCGGCCUGGUCAGCCCAGGAGCCUGAAGUCAUAUCCAAGAGGCUGCCAUGAAAUGAGGAGACAUCUUGGCCACGGGAUUCUUUUCCCUUAAGGCAAAGGACUCUGGGUGUCCUUCACUCCUAAACCAAGCCUCCUUUGCUGGAAGUUCUGCACCCUUCCUGGGCAUCCUGGGAGCAUGGCAUUGGCAUUAGCUGAUACUCGGAUGCCUUUUGCCUGGAUCAGCCAAAAACCCACAGGUAGGGCUGCUGCCUCUACCAGGAGACCAGAAGCCUGACAAGCUAAGGAUGCUCCGUCUCCUCAGACAAGAAGGAUGCUGGGCGAGCUCAGUACAGAACAGGAGUCACAGCCAGAGUUGCCACCAAGUGUACUUUAUUGACUCCACUGUGGACAGAUAUACGAAGGUAACAUUUGCAUACACAUAGGGUAAAGGGUCAAGCCCUCAGCCUCAGGCAGGGGGAGGGCCAGAUGUGGACCGUGGGACACAGGGCAGCUAGAAUCCAGAAUGUGGCGUUCUUUGUGAAAGCGACUGAAAGACUACCGCAGAGGUGGUAGAGAAAAUGAUGAUGCAGAUAAUGACCAUGAGGACACUGAAGAUCAGGGAGCUGAUGUUCAGGCACUUGGCAGUGGAGGCGUAGGCCUGGGCUCCAAUCACAUCGCCCACCAUCUUCCUGUCCCUGGACUGGAGGAAACCAGAUGGUGGGGACUGGGAAGAUCUGCAAUUCAAGGUUUCUUUGGCUGUCAGUCGGGAGGGAGGAGCCUUCCAGCCAGCCCGGGCCUGGAUGCUCCUGGCUAGCUAAAGAAGGAAAAUUCCAGUCACUCGGCUGCAGCCUGGGAGCUUAUGGGAGGCAGAUGUUUCCCUGCCAGUUGCGAAACAGCCAUUGCUAAAAUGAAGCCUGUAGGAGAACAGCAGCACAGAGAACUCCAUGUCUUUCCUGGCAGGAGCAAUGAGAAAGCUGAGCGUCUGUCAGAAACGAGGAGAGUUCCCUGGUGGUGAAGGACACAAAUCAUUUGACACUUUAACCCAUUCCGUAACCUCACAUCCCCACCCCCAACACCCAAAUUUCAUCCUACAGGGCAGAAUGGAUCAAGGAAGAGAUCGUUAAGUCUGACUUCAGAGCCCCUGUUCACCUCUAGAUGUACAACCUUCACCAUCGACCAGAGCCUCAAAAGCUGGAGCAGGUCACACAUCCGUAAUGCCGGCACUUGGGAACUGUAAGCAGGAGGAUCCAUUCAAGGUCCACUCUGGACUACGUGAGAUCUUGUCUCAAAUAAAUGAAUAACAAGUA
rnacentral:antisense_RNA from 1 species